UUCUAUCAGUAUAUUAAUGUAUCAGAUCAAACCCUAUUCUAUCAGUAUAUUAAUGUGUCAGAUCAAACCCUGUUCUAUCAGUAUAUUAAUGUAACCCUGUGUGUCAGAUCAAACCCGUUUCUAUCAGUAUAUUAAUGUAACCCUGUGUGUCAGAUCAAACCCGUUUCUAUCAGUAUAUUAAUGUAGCCCUGUGUAUC
rnacentral:lncRNA from 13 species